AGAGUUUGAUCCUGGCUCAGAUUGAACGCUGGCGGCAUGCCUUACACAUGCAAGUCGAACGGUAACGCGGGGGCAACCCUGGCGACGAGUGGCGAACGGGUGAGUAAUACAUCGGAACAUAUCCAGUAGCGGGGGAUAACCUAUCGAAAGAUGGACUAAUACCGCAUACGAUCUACGGAUGAAAGCAGGGGACCGCAAGGCCUUGCACUAUUGGAGUGGCCGAUGUCGGAUUAGCUAGUUGGUGAGGUAAAGGCUUACCAAGGCGACGAUCCGUAGCUGGUCUGAGAGGACGAUCGGCCACACUGGAACUGAGACACGGUCCAGACUCCUACGGGAGGCAGCAGUGGGGAAUUUUGGACAAUGGGCGCAAGCCUGAUCCAGCCAUGCCGCGUGAGUGAAGAAGGCCUUCGGGUUGUAAAGCUCUUUCGGUGAAGACGAAACGGUUCGCGCUAAUAACGCGGACUAAUGACGGUACUCACAGAGAGACGACUGCGG
rnacentral:rRNA from 1 species